UUACUUAGAGAUGUAAGAAAAUGAAAAGAAUCAAGUUGUAAUAAUUUGUAAUAAAAGCUAGAUUGUAUUUGGAAGUUAAAUGUAAUAAGUAAUUGUGAUGUAAAAUGUAUCUAGUGAAUGUGAAUCCUUGUAAUAGCAAGUAGAUUAUGUUUUUGAUACUUCCUUAUGCAAUCCUUGAUUGAAAUGUGUUCCUGGUUGGAACUUUGUACAUUGUAUUGAUUGCGACGCCUU
rnacentral:lncRNA from 1 species